rnacentral:misc_RNA from 1 species
ACACACACACGCGGCAUCUAGCGCUUGAGGGUACAAGCAGAAAGGAAACAAACCCCGAAGAGGAAGGUGGAAAGCAGCACAAAACUCAUGCAUGACUGUACACUUCCCACCUUGUCUUUGCAGACGUACUCCGGCUCUGCUACCUGUGGGAUACGAAUCUGGGAGUGAGUCUAGUCGCGGACAUACGCAUACGCGUACGCAGGCUGACUCAUCAACACACUCGUGGAAGAGUGCAGCGUCGGAAGUUCUGCUUCCACUUUUACUUGGUCUCCGAUUUCCUAUUGGAUCGCCUCCUCUCUGUCCUUCUCUCUGCAGUACUUGUGGGUUUCCUGGCCGGCGGGGAACGAGUAAUACAUGCGCUAGGCUCUGUAUUAGCUGCUGCGAGGGAUGCUUGUUCAGGCGGCGGGGCGGGACCAUCCACACGUGCUUGCGUGCCGAGCCUUUUGUUGUCCCUUGCGUGGUGGCAUCUGCGCUGACGUGGGGGCUUCCUAAUGCCGCUCUCACGGCUGGUGCGGGGUCACUUCAUCUCGCUUCUUCAUUUUUUGGAGCUCCACUCAGCAACGCUGACGGUGCUCGCACGCGGGACGCUGUCGUACGUCGCUGUCUAGUGGCAGCUGCCCACACCUGUGGCGCACCUGGCCCGGCGAACGGGGCACGCGCCGGGGCGCGACUUGCAGUUUUGGGGUAGAUGUGUGAGACGAAAGGAAGAGGGAUGGUGACAGUGAGACACCGUUGAAGGACGGCACGCGCGGCGCUGUGGUUCACCGCAACCUCAAAUCCGAGCUGAUCACGGCGGUGGAGCUGCAUCCCUCGACAUUGGUAGCAGCGCCUUGUGACCCGCGUACACGGCUGGACAGAAACGUGCGUGAGCGGAGACCCAAGGUGCCGCUGGAGGAUGUGCUGUGUGCGCCGCUCAACUGCUCUUCGGUGUGCAAGGUCUUCUGCGCAGCGAUGGACCACGAAGAGUACCACCUGUGGCCGCUGGACGACUCGCUGCUGAACACGCACACCGCUCUCGCUCGGGGCGAGGCAGUGGCGUGUGCACCUCACACUGGAAGCGCGAGUGCGAGGAUGGCCGACACCCCGAGGGCUGCGUCGCAGAGGCGGGGAGGCAGGCUAGCGAUGUGCUUAUUCGUGUGUUUGACGGCGCCAGUCGACAGGAGAGCUGUGCCGCUCUUUGCCCAAGUUCACGGGUUCCCUGAUCGAGCUCCAUCACAUGAGCACCUCUGCUCACACAGCAGCAGCGGCGAAGGGGGCCGCGACACUUCGGGACGGGGGGGGUGAAGACCACAGCCAACCUUGUGCCGUUCCUCGCUGGGAUCUCAGCCACUUCCAUUGGCCUCAGCACCAAGGUCAAGUUCCCGAACGUGUCCUUCGUGAACAGUAGCGUGCCUACGCUGGCAAAGCACAUGUACGGGGAUGAUCUGAGAGCCCCCCUUCACCUCGGCCUGCUGCCACAGCGUUUUCGAGUAUCUGAUGCACCACACGGGUACCUAACAGCGGCGCGGGUGGGCGGGUGACGGGUGUGGACCGCUAUUUCUAAAUGCUCUUCUGGCAGCGGGGGCACUCCGAGCUGUCAGGUAACUCUCGCGGCCCUUGCAACAUCGUGUCUCACUACAUGGCAGGCGAGGCGGUGUGUGAGCACGCAUUGGACAACACGGAGCGCUUGCUUGCAAAACAGCUCAGCGGCUGCCGCCGCGCAUGCACCGGCGCGUCGCUUCGGGCCCGCCAAGGAUAGCGAUUGCGGCGCCGCACCGGGGAAGAGGGAGGGGACAGCUACAGAAAGGACUGCUUCAAAGUAUUGCGCAUGACCGGGAGCCACGCGGGCACGCACGGCGCCAUGGUGCCUCUCUCCGACACCUUGACCCUCUUCUUCAAUGACCUGCGCGUGAAGCUGCGCUUCUUCGAGGACCCGCUCAACACACUCAUCGUACUUCCGGGCCACGGAAACCACAUGGGACACCACUACAAGUAUACCCACGCUGGAAAAUGUGAGCGGGUCGCCGCGCCGUCGCCAUGGCGGUGACACCAGAGGUCUUGCACCGUAUCGGUAACUUCAAGAGCCGUUCUGCCAGGAUUUCUCUGUUGAGCUUUCAGUGCUGGUCGAAGCAACUAUCGACAUCGUUGGAUGUAUGCACAGCCCUGGUAGGCCUGUGCAAUGCGAGCUUGGCGGUAUACGCG